GCCAUUGCAGCUGAUGACAUGACUUUUUUCCCCAUCAGAUCGACCCUGUUGAUCUAACAACCAUUAGCCAGUGUUUGUCUGAUGCAUUGGC
rnacentral:snoRNA from 1 species